GAUGAACGCUGGCGGCGUGCUUAACACAUGCAAGUCGAGCGAAGCGGUUUAAAUGAGACUUCGGUGGAUUUUAAACUGACUGAGCGGCGGACGGGUGAGUAACGCGUGGAUAACCUGCCUCACACAGGGGGAUAACAGUUAGAAAUGACUGCUAAUACCGCAUAAGCGCACAGUACCGCAUGGUAUAGUGUGAAAAACUCCGGUGGUGUGAGAUGGAUCCGCGUCUGAUUAGGUAGUUGGUGGGGUAACGGCCCACCAAGCCGACGAUCAGUAGCCGACCUGAGAGGGUGACCGGCCACAUUGGGACUGAGACACGGCCCAAACUCCUACGGGAGGCAGCAGUGGGGAAUAUUGCACAAUGGGCGAAAGCCUGAUGCAGCGACGCCGCGUGAGUGAAGAAGUAUCUCGGUAUGUAAAGCUCUAUCAGCAGGGAAGAAAAUGACGGUACCUGACUAAGAAGCCCCGGCUA
rnacentral:rRNA from 1 species